rnacentral:rRNA from 1 species
CCUACGGGGGGCUGCAGUGGGGAAUAUUGGGCAAUGGGGGCAACCCUGACCCAGCGACGCCGCGUGAGGGAAGACAGCCUUCGGGUUGUAAACCUCUGUUGCAGGGGAAGAAGAAAGUGACGGUACCCUGCGAGGAAGCUCCGGCAAACUACGUGCCAGCAGCCGCGGUAAUACGUAGGGAGCGAGCGUUGUCCGGAAUUACUGGGCGUAAAGGGCGCGUAGGCCGUGUUAUAAGUUAGUUGUAAAACGUGUGGGCUUAACCCGCAUUCGCAACUAAAACUGUAACGCUAGAGGCAUAGAGAGGCAGACGGAAUUCCUGGUGUAGCGGUGAAAUGCGUAGAUAUCAGGAAGAACACCGGUGGCGAAGGCGGUCUGCUGGCUAUGAACUGACGCUGAAGCGCGAAAGCCAGGGGAGCAAACGGGAUUAGAUACCCCAGUAGUC